rnacentral:rRNA from 1 species
UGAUCAUGGCUCAGAUUGAACGCUGGCGGCAGGCUUAACACAUGCAAGUCGAGCGGAGAGAGGUAGCUUGCUACUGAUCUUAGCGGCGGACGGGUGAGUAAUGCUUAGGAAUCUGCCUAUUAGUGGGGGACAACAUUUCGAAAGGAAUGCUAAUACCGCAUACGUCCUACGGGAGAAAGCAGGGGAUCUUCGGACCUUGCGCUAAUAGAUGAGCCUAAGUCGGAUUAGCUAGUUGGUGGGGUAAAGGCCUACCAAGGCGACGAUCUGUAGCGGGUCUGAGAGGAUGAUCCGCCACACUGGGACUGAGACACGGCCCAGACUCCUACGGGAGGCAGCAGUGGGGAAUAUUGGACAAUGGGCGCAAGCCUGAUCCAGCCAUGCCGCGUGUGUGAAGAAGGCCUUAUGGUUGUAAAGCACUUUAAGCGAGGAGGAGGCUACUUUAGUUAAUACCUAGAGAUAGUGGACGUUACUCGCAGAAUAAGCACCGGCUAACUCUGUGCCAGCAGCCGCGGUAAUACAGAGGGUGCAAGCGUUAAUCGGAUUUACUGGGCGUAAAGCGCGCGUAGGCGGCUAAUUAAG